UAUGCCGGCAUAGCCCCAUGGU
rnacentral:miRNA from 1 species